rnacentral:rRNA from 33 species
CAACUUUCAACAACGGAUCUCUUGGUUCUGGCAUCGAUGAAGAACGCAGCGAAAUGCGAUAAGUAGUGUGAAUUGCAGAAUUCAGUGAAUCAUCGAAUCUUUGAACGCACAUUGCGCCCUUUGGUAUUCCAAAGGGCAUGCCUGUUCGAGCGUCAUU